rnacentral:lncRNA from 1 species
AGGCAGCUCAUUGUGCAAAUAUACCAAAACACCUGUAGAGCUACAGUUCGUUGAAAUUCCCAUUGCCCGUUUGGUGGCCCGUCCCAGGAAGAUGCCGGUGAGGAAGACCAGGCCCGUGGCGCUCAUUAGUAUCACAAGGAAGAAUUUCCGCGCCGGAGAGGCGACGACUUGUUGCACUAGCUGCUGCACAUCCUCGGGCGGAAGCGCCAACGUGUCGUCUGCGUUCCUGAACAUCUCUAUGCGUCGCUGCAGCUUUUCUCGGCAGUCCGCCUCUAACGAGUUCGGCGUAUCCUUCAGCAGCGUCCUUAAGCAAUUAAGUUCUAGAACAUAGAGAGAAAAACAUUAAUUAUUAUAUUUAUAACCACACCAACCACACACACACACACACACACACACACACACACACACACACACACACACACACACACACACACACACACACACACACACACACACACACACACACACACACACACACACACACACACACCCCCCUGCACCAAAAAGGAAUGUUCAAGAAAUUUCAUAAUUUGCUGCCUAUCACGUAACUUCCCGUUGUUUAUUUACACUAUGUACUGUUCUUAUUCUCUUAGUCAAUCUGCCUCCAAUUAUAUCGAUCUGCUUCAAAUACAUAAGCUGUUUGAUAGGUGCUUUCACU